CACAAAGUUCUCAAAAUAAACAGUCUCAGAUUCAGAUUGUGCUGUGUCAACCAGGAGUUUCCCGAACAAACACUUUCCCCUGUGACCAAAUAAGUCUUAUCUUCUUAGAGCAUAUAGUCUCCCCAGAGACAUGAGGAUUAAACAGCCAUGUAAAUACAUAUAUAAUUGUAGAUACCUGUAAGUAUCUAUAGGGCCUCUUUACCACCAGGGUUACGAAGAAUAUAUUAUGAGGGGAUCAACUUUGGACGUGGGGGCAAAUGGGGAAAACCCACACUGCUUCUUCUCUGUACUCACAUUCAACACAGAACGCUUCUGUGACCAAAUGUAUAGGGUGUUUUCCU
rnacentral:lncRNA from 1 species